rnacentral:rRNA from 1 species
GACCAGACUCCUACGGGAGGCAGCAGUGGGGAAUAUUGCACAAUGGGGGAAACCCUGAUGCAGCGACGCCGCGUGAGUGAAGAAGUAUUUCGGUAUGUAAAGCUCUAUCAGCAGGGAAGAAAAUGACGGUACCUGAUUAAGAAGCCCCGGCUAACUACGUGCCAGCAGCCGCGGUAAUACGUAGGGGGCAAGCGUUAUCCGGAUUUACUGGGUGUAAAGGGAGCGUAGACGGCAGUGCAAGUCUGAAGUGAAAGCCCCGGGCUUAACCCGGGAAUUGCUUUGGAAACUGUACGGCUGGAGUGCUGGAGAGGUAAGCGGAAUUCCUAGUGUAGCGGUGAAAUGCGUAGAUAUUAGGAGGAACACCAGUGGCGAAGGCGGCUUACUGGACAGUAACUGACGUUGAGGCUCGAAAGCGUGGGGAGCAAACAGGAUUAGAUACCCGUGUAU